GGGCUAUAUCAUGUUGAAACACCAGUUCUUGUAUGUUAACCAAAGUUAAGCAAUAUCAAGCCUGGUCAGUACUUAGAUGGGUAACCGCUUGGGAAUACCAGGUGAUGG